GCUGACUCACUUGUUAGAUUCAAUGAAACGCAGGAUACGCAGGCGGAGGGAUAUUCUUCCAUUGAUAGAAGACACAGAUUAGAAACAGGGCAGGUUUCAUAUAGAGCAACUUUGAAUCCAAGCUGUAGCAUAGCAAAAGGAAAAGGGUGUGGUUUAGUUCAUCUUCCUGAGAUCCAGACAAAUGGCAAUAAAUCUUUACAAUUGGAGAGAACAAAUGAUAGCGAUAAAUUACAAAUGUCUGAUUUAAGGAAAACUGCACACGCGUCGAAAUCAGUAGAUGUUGACUCAAGAAAUAAGAAUCUUGAAAGCCAUAUCUUGAAUUAUAUCGAAGUAGAAUUCAACUCCCGGAAAACAACGCCGAGCUUCUUUAUUCAUGGAUCUGACAAAAAAACGCCAUAUGCAGACAUUGAUCUUACUUUGAAGGCUGAUCCGUUACCUGAGAGUGACUCCAGUGACGAUGAUGAUGCUGGUGGUAAUAACGAACUAGAAGAACAUCAUGAAAAUGACUUUAUGACACUCGAAGAAAUUCAGGAAUUGAGAGAAACCAAUAUGAGAACAUAGAUUGUAUGGCCGUUUUGAGCAAAACAUUCAUAGUAACACACCAUAAACAAUAAAGAUAGUUUUAUACACACGUUGUAUUCUGUUCUCAGGAUUAAUUUAAUAUAUAAAUGGAUCAUCGAAUAUAUCCAUGAAUUUUAAAAAUUCUGAAAUUUCACAUACAAAGAAGUAUUUUUGUAGAUAUUCGUCUGUAAAAUACGAAAUAAGCUAUCGGUAACUGAGUUUACAACAUGUAGGAGAUGCGUAUU